UACGUAGGGUGCAAGCGUUUGUCCGGAAUUAUUGGGCGUAAAGAGCUCGUAGGCGGCUUGUCGCGUCGAAUGUGAAAUCUCAGGGCUCAACUCUGACAUUGCAUUCGAUACGGGCAGGCUAGAGUUCGGUAGGGGAGACUGGAAUUCCUGGUGUAGCGGUGAAAUGCGCAGAUAUCAGGAGGAACACCGGUGGCGAAGGCGGGUCUCUGGGCCGAUACUGACGCUGAGGAGCGAAAGCGUGGGGAGCGAACAGG
rnacentral:rRNA from 1 species